rnacentral:rRNA from 1 species
CUAAUACCGCAUGACAUAUCGGAACCACAUGGUUUUGAUAUCAAAGAUUUUAUCGCUUGAAGAUGGACUCGCGUCCGAUUAGUUAGUUGGUGAGGUAACGGCUCACCAAGACCGCGAUCGGUAGCCGGACUGAGAGGUUGAACGGCCACAUUGGGACUGAGACACGGCCCAGACUCCUACGGGAGGCAGCAUG